GUGGGGAAUAUUGCGCAAUGGGGGAAACCCUGACGCAGCAACGCCGCGUGAAGGAAGAAGGUCUUCGGAUUGUAAACUUCUUUGGUGAGGGACGAAGAGAUGACGGUACCUCAGGAACAAGCCACGGCUAACUACGUGCCAGCAGCCGCGGUAAUACGUAGGUGGCGAGCGUUGUCCGGAAUUACUGGGUGUAAAGGGCGUGUAGGCGGGGGCAUAAGUCAGAUGUGAAAUCCCGGGGCUUAACUCCGGGGCUGCAUCUGAAACUAUGUUUCUUGAGUGCUGGAGAGGGAAGCGGAAUUCCUAGUGUAGCGGUGAAAUGCGUAGAUAUUAGGAGGAACACCAGUGGCGAAGGCGGCUUCCUGGACAGUAACUGACGCUGAGGCGCGAAAGCGUGGGGAGCGAACAGGAUUAGAAACCCUAGUAGUCC
rnacentral:rRNA from 1 species